rnacentral:rRNA from 1 species
UAAGACAGAGGGUGCAAACGUUGUUCGGAAUUACUGGGCGUAAAGCGCGUGUAGGCUGUCAUGCAAGUCGGGUGUGAAAGCCCAGGGCUCAACCCUGGAAGUGCACUCGAAACUGCAAGACUGGAGUCUCGGAGAGGAAAGCGGAAUUCUGGGUGUAGAGGUGAAAUUCGUAGAUAUCCAGAGGAACACCGGUGGCGAAGGCGGCUUUCUGGACGAGUUACUGACGCUGAGACGCGAAAGCGUGGGGAGCAAACAGGAUUAGAUACCCUGGUAGUCCACGCCGUAAACGAUGAGUGCUAGAUGUCGCGGGCAUUGACCCCUGCGGUGUCGUAGCUAACGCAUUAAGCACUCCGCCUGGGGAGUACGGCCGCAAGGCUA